GGACGAACGCUGGCGGCGUGCCUAAUACAUGCAAGUAGAACGCUGAAGAGAGGAGCUUGCUCUUCUUGGAUGAGUUGCGAACGGGUGAGUAACGCGUAGGUAACCUGCCUUGUAGCGGGGGAUAACUAUUGGAAACGAUAGCUAAUACCGCAUAACAAUGGAUGACUCAUGUCAUUUAUUUGAAAGGGGCAAAUGCUCCACUACAAGAUGGACCUGCGUUGUAUUAGCUAGUAGGUGAGGUAACGGCUCACCUAGGCGACGAUACAUAGCCGACCUGGGAGGGUGAUCGGCCACACUGGGACUGAGACACGGCCCAGACUCCUACGGGAGGCAGCAGUAGGGAAUCUUCGGCAAUGGGGGCAACCCUGACCGAGCAACGCCGCGUGAGUGAAGAAGGUUUUCGGAUCGUAAAGCUCUGUUGUAAGUCAAGAACGAGUGUGAGAGUGGAAAGUUCACACUGUGACGGUAGCUUACCAGAAAGGGACGGCUAACUACGUGCCAGCAGCCGCGGUAAUACGUAGGUCCCGAGCGUUGUCCGGAUUUAUUGGGCGUAAAGCGAGCGCAGGCGGUUUGAUAAGUCUGAAGUUAAAGGCUGUGGCUCAACCAUAGUUCGCUUUGGAAACUGUCAAACUUGAGUGCAGAAGGGGAGAGUGGAAUUCCAUGUGUAGCGGUGAAAUGCGUAGAUAUAUGGAGGAACACCGGUGGCGAAAGCGGCUCUCUGGUCUGUAACUGACGCUGAGGCUCGAAAGCGUGGGGAGCGAACAGGAUUAGAUACCCUGGUAGUCCACGCCGUAAACGAUGAGUGCUAGGUGUUGGAUCCUUUCCGGGAUUCAGUGCCGCAGCUAACGCAUUAAGCACUCCGCCUGGGGAGUACGACCG
rnacentral:rRNA from 1 species